rnacentral:misc_RNA from 1 species
ACCACUACUCAAGGUCCAUGGUGGGGAAACACCACUACUCAAGGUCCAUGGUGGGGAAAUAACUCUACUCAAGGUCCAUGGUGGGGAAACAACUCAACCGAAGGUCCAUGGUGGGGAAACAACUCAACCGAAGGUCCAUGGUGGGGAAACAACUCAACCGA